CUUCUUCGACCUGUUGCGGACAGAUGAAAUGGAUAUGCGCAUCGAUGCCGCCCGCCGUGAGGAUCUGCCCUUCCCCCGCGAUGACCUCGGUGCCGGGCCCUAUGACGAUGUCAACCCCGGCCUGAGUAUCCGGAUUGCCCGCCUUACCGAUCCCGGCAAUGCGUCCGUUCUUGAUGCCGACGUCGGCUUUGACGAUGCCCCAAUGGUCCACGAUCAGCGCGUUGGUGAUGACCGUAUCCACCGCGGUUUCCGACGUACAUUGGCUCUGUCCCAUGCCGUCGCGGAU
rnacentral:sRNA from 1 species